GAGGGUGGACAGGUGGUGCAUGGUUGUCGUCAGCUCGUGUCGUGAGAUGUUGGGUUAAGUCCCGCAACGAGCGCAACCCUCGACCUUAGUUGCCAGCAUUCAGUUGGGCACUCUAAGGUGACUGCCGGCUAAAAGUCGGAGGAAGGUGGGGAUGACGUCAAAUCAUCAUGCCCCUUAUGACCUGGGCUACACACGUGCUACAAUGGGCGGUACAAAGGGUCGCGAACCCGCGAGGGGGAGCCAAUCCCAAAAAAGCCGCUCUCAGUUCGGACUGCAGGCUGCAACUCGCCUGCAUGAAGCCGGAAUCGCUAGUAAUCGCGGAUCAGCAUGCCGCGAUGAAUACGUUCCCGGGCCUU
rnacentral:rRNA from 1 species